GUGAAGAACGUAGUGAAAUGCGAUAAGUAGUGUGAAUUGCAGAAUUCAGUGAAUCAUCGAAUCUUUGAACGCACAUUGCGCCCUUUGGUAUUCCUUAGGGCAUGCCUGUUCGAGCGUCAUUUAAACCUUCAAGCUCAGCUUGGUGUUGGGUGACUGUCCGCUUCACCGCGGACUCGCCUCAAAAUUAUUGGCGGCCGGUACAUUGGCUCUCGAGCGCAGCAGAAACGCGUAACUCGAGGUCCUCGUGCUGGCUCCCAGAAGCUAUCUUCACAAUUUUGACCUCGGAUCAGGUAGGGAUACCCGCUGAACUUAAGCAUAUCAAUAAGCGGAGGA
rnacentral:misc_RNA from 1 species